rnacentral:misc_RNA from 1 species
ACACCUCAACUCUCAUGGUUUGCCAUGAUGAGCUUGGACUCUGGGGGUUUUGCUGGCCUGCUGUCAGCUCCUCUGAAAUGAAUCAGCUCGCCAGUCUUUGGUGGCAUCAUGGGUGUGAUAACUAUCUACGCUUGUGGUUGUCUGCCAGGUAACCUUCAGUGAUGGGGGUUGGCUGGUGCUUAUAAAUGUCUCUCCUCAGCGAAGACAGCUCUUUGAAU